rnacentral:lncRNA from 1 species
CAUUCCACAAACAUUUCUAAGUGUCCAUGGUGACCCAGACAUCAUGGGAACUUCAGGGUUCCAGAGCUGAGUAGAACACAACUCCCAUCCUUAGGGAUUCACCAUCCAGUAGAGGAGAAAGACGUCGAGACAGAAGACAGAAGGGAAAGGAAAAGCUCAAUGCUGUGCCUUCAACUUAGCUUCUCCAUUUUUUGGAGAAGGGUUAAUAGGGGAAGCAGAGAGAGAGAGAUGAGAGACCAAAGUUUCUAGGGCCUUUAUCUCCAGAGCAGAGGGUCUGAAACCUUAGUGAGCAAAAACUGAUCCGGAAGACUUGUUGGAGGCAUACCUUCCAGUUCAGCGAGCCAUUUCAGCAGAUUGGAGGUGGGCCCAGGGCUCUGCAUUUUCCCAGCUCUCUGGGGGAUCUAGAUGCAGGUAGUCUGUCAUCACAAGGGGAUGCUGCUCUUCCACAGUGGGCCUGGAGAACCAGAACUGGCAACUGCCUGGCCCCAGAGCUGCCAGCCAUGAGGCGGGUCCACCAGAGACUGAUGGAGGAAAGAGGAAAGGGAACAGGGAACCUCAGAGAGGAUUAGGGUGGGAAAUGGAAAAAGAGAAAAUCCAAGGAGUGCAAAAGAGAAAAGGGAGGCCUCUCUAAGGAGGACAGCGAGUAUUAGCGGAGGUGCUAGGGCCACUCAGGGUGACUGAUGUCCAUGUGUUAGCCACGGACAUUGAAAGAUUUUUGGUCUUUCAAACUCGAGGACUUGCCUAACCAAGCACAGAGCAAAGAACAGAAAGCUGACUUUGCUAGAUGCUUGGGCAUCAAUAUCACGUGGAACCAGCCUUUUCUUUGAUACCUCUUGCGUUUCUUGCAGAUCCCCUGCCUGCAGCACGUGCUGAUCUCCAAGGGUGAGGCUGGAUGAAGCCAGGGGCUAUGGAAAGGGAGACUGUUUCAGAGGACUUGACACCAUCUUCAGUAAUUUCUCUGGUUCUUGGCAGCUCCAUUUGGCUGCGUCCCUACCCUGCAUAACCCUCCCAGCUAGUCUACUCCAGGGCAGCAUCCAGCUGGUGACCUGAGAGGGCAGUGGCGCACCAGUCUCCAUGAAGGUUGAGCUCCGAUGGCCAACAGCCAUUUCCACCUUGUGGUCUACAACUCUUCAUCCCGACUGCAUGGAGGUUGGUCUCUCUCUUCAGCUGGAUUUAGGCCACCAUCUGAGCCCCCGGGGUACGUUUUGUCUGACCCUGGCGCCAUUCGAACGGUUCUUCUACAGCAUCAGUUCUCUUUCCUGCCACCAUGUGAAGAAGGACAUGUUUGCUUCCCCUUCUGCCAUGAAUGGACAGGGUCCUGCUGUGUUGCCCAGGCUGGCCUUGAACUCCUGGCUUCAAACAGUCUUCCCACUUGGGCUCCCAAAGUGCUGGGAUUAAAGGGGCGAGUUACAGCACCAGGACCUGAAAUGCAUCAUGUGUCAUUCUCACAGCUGUUAGGACUUCAAUGAUGUUAUAAGGAAGUUGGGGCUCAGAGAAGCUACAGAACUUACCCAAGGACACACAGCCAUCACGAAAAACAUGGCCAGCAAAGCAGGUGAGGCAAAGAUCAGGAAGGACAUUAAACGCCAAACUAAGGAGCGGAACUGAAUGAGCAGUGAAGGGGAACAAUGGCUUCAGCAGGUCCACUGGGCUCCUCUUUUCUGUCAGCCUCCCCCUACCCCUCACCUCUGUACUACUCAUGUUACUAUCUACGUCUCUUCACCAAUGUCAUUGUGGAAAUAAAAGCUUAUCUGUAAGAGUA